rnacentral:rRNA from 1 species
GAGUGAAGCGGCAACCGCUCAAAUUUAAAUCUGGCUUCGGCCCGAGUUGUAAUUUGCAGAGGAAGCUUUAGGCGCGGCACCAUCUGAGUCCCCUGGAACGGGGCGCCACAGAGGGUGAGAGCCCCGUAUAGAUGGACGCCUAGCCUGUGUAAAGCUCCUUCGACGAGUCGAGUAGUUUGGGAAUGCUGCUCAAAAUGGGAGGUAAAUUUCUUCUAAAGCUAAAUACCGGCCAGAGACCGAUAGCGCACAAGUAGAGUGAUCGAAAGAUGAAAAGCACUUUGAAAAGAGGGUUAAAUAGCACGUGAAAUUGUUGAAAGGGAAGCGCUUGUGACCAGACUUGCGCCGGGCGGAUCAUCCGGUGUUCUCACCGGUGCACUCCGCCCGGCUCCGGCCAGCAUCGGUUCUCGUGGGGGGAUAAAGGCACCGGGAACGUAGCUCCUCCGGGAGUGUUAUAGCCCGGGGCGUAAUGCCCUCGCGGGGACCGAGGACCGCGCAUCUGCAAGGAUGCUGGCGUAAUGGUCAUCAGCGACCCGUCUUGAAACACGGACCAAGGAGUCAAGGUUUUGCGCGAGUGUUUGGGUGUAAAACCCGCACGCGUAAUGAAAGUGAACGUAGGUGGGAGCUUCGGCGCAUCAUCGACCGAUCCUGAUGUUCUCGGAUGGAUUUGA